GGACGAUCUGUACCGGUCGCCUCCUCCGUCUGCUGCCAUUGUCCACCCAUCCCCUCCCUCUAAUCAAUUCUCUUACCGGGGUCAAUGAUUCUGCAGGUAAUCUCACUCAUCCCCGGAUCAGUCCAAGUCCGUUGCCGGAAAGAUUUUUUUCGAACAGGAGCUACACACGCCACAGUUCCUUUCUCCCUCCUAUCUGAUUGGACUACCAUGCUGAUAUACCUCAAUCCCCCUCCCAUGCGCAUGUAUUGGCUAUGAUUAACCCAUAGCCUGGACCAAUCAACGGCUGCAUAGAAAUUGAGCAAGCAUCCAUUGCUAGCCAUCGCUUGCACCACUCCAUCCAAUAAGGUCUGCAAGGAGAAAUACUAAUACUGGAGUAAGUUUUCCUUUUUUUUUAUGUUGCGCAUCCUGCAACUUUAGACUUGGUCUAUGAUGAUCAUGUACAGUCUAGGUUUCUGUUUUGGGGAGAUUCUAAUGGCAGGAGUUCAUUAGUUUAAUACGUUUCUUAGUCCUACCUAUGUAUUAUUGCGAUGGGUUUUGUAGCUGAUAUUUAAUCUAAUUAAUUAGGGGAUUCAUUUG